ensembl:lncRNA
UAAUAAGAAUAUAUCCUCCAUAGAGAUGAAGUAGAAAACUAAAAUAGUUUAUUUGUAUGUAGUAAAAUUUCAAAGUUUUAGGCACACUGGAAAAGGUUUCUCAGAUCAAUAAGGAAAAAAUACAAAAGUCAGGCAGUAAAAAUUAUCUUUCAACAUUAUAGGAGCUGCAGAAGAUUAAAUAUCAAAUGAAAUAUAUUUUAGAAUGUUGCCAAAACAUAUCUGAAAAACAAUUCUAGUGCAUUCUUCUUAGACAGGUCUUAAAAUAAAGACAACAGUAUGCAUAUACUAAGAUCGCAACAAACUAAAAAAGCAUGAAAAAAAAACAGCACACAGACAGAUGACAACAAAUUUCUUAAGAAAAAUUCUCAAACUGUAUGAUCAAACAACAGGUGUUUGGGGUUGGCUUGUUUGUUUUUGUUCUAUGUACUGUUGGAACUUGCUAUGUAAAGUAGAAGUCAUUAUUAUAAAACAAAUAAUUCAGUGAGUAAUGAUUUAAGCAAAUCUCAGCCAUAAAGAUGCUACACUACCACACUUCUGCCAUUCAGCUUUAGGAACAAAGUGAAAUGGGGAACUGGCACUGAAUUGCUCCACAGAAGGUUUAGAUUGGAUAUCAGGAAGAAUUUCUUCACAAAAAAAAAAAAAGGGUCACCAGGCACUGGAGCUGUCUGCCAGGGAAGUGGUGGAGUUGCUAUCCUCAGAGGUGCUUAAAGAAAUUAUUUAGUAACAGUAAAAGUAUUAGGUUGGAGUUCGGCCUUGAUGAUAUUAAGGGUCUUAUCCGCCCUAAAUAAUGAUCAGCAUGAGCUCCAUCUUGGAUGGUCUGUACACUGGGGACCAUCCUUCUUUCAGUACUUCUUGAAAAGCAUAGGUCCUCUUAACAACAACAAUUGAUACAGGUGUUUAGAUGGCAUUCAGUUUUCCCUCUAUUUCAGGUCUUCUACUCAGAUAAUCUACUGCACACACUACUGCUUCUGUCAGUCCUCAUUAAAACCAACACUGGAGAUCCAAGAGUGAUAAAUCCAAGCAUAACAGAAAAAUGUAUGUUGUAGUUCAUAUCUUUGAUCACACCACUCAAAAAUGGUCACUGCCUCAGAGAGGAGAGAUCAGCUUCAUUCAUCAGUCAUGUUUCUAUUCAUGCACCUGUUCUUUAGCAUCUUACAAAAUCAAGAUGGAUGGCUCCUGUCCACUCUGUAGUUCUCAGCAUCUUUAACUCCUUCCUGAGCAGCUGCUACACAUACACUCUGAAUUUCCUGGAAUUUGGACUAUCAGUAAUCAGCUAUGACCACUACAUCAUGAUGCUGACUAAGAAGAAGGCUCAAACUUCCAGAGUCAGGCCAGAGAGAAGACAACCUUUCUCCCACAACGCAAUAACACCAAGCCCCCAUACCAGAUUGAAAUCUGUGGAUCACACUGUCAAUCUUGUCUGGACUGUCCUACCAUACUCACUGUAUAGUCCGGAUUUGGCGCCUUCUGAAUUCCAUCUCUUUGCACCUAUGAAAGAUGAACUGUAUUUACAACAUUUUCCUAGCAACAACACCAUCUUAGCAGCUGUGAAACAAUGGGUCACCUUCGCUGGUGCAAAUAUUUACAAGUGUGGCAUGCAGACUCUUGUUCAUCAUUGGAGAAAAAACAUAGCUAAUGGUGGUGACUAUGUUGAAAAUAGUGUAUUAUAGCUGAGACUUUGUUUUAACAGUGUUAUUGUGCUCUUUGUAUCUGUUGUAGUUUCUAAGGAAAUAAAUAGGAGACAAACUAUGCAUAUAUUCUUGCCUCUCAUUUUCCUGAAGGGAAACAAAAAGCAGAAUGCUGCAAACUGAGCCAUCUUAAUCUGUUAACACCGUUGACACUGCAGGCCAGAAAUCACACGAACUGAUAGAAAUAACAGAGCAAAAUUUCUGAGAACUCUGAAUCCUCAAACUUCUUUUAAGCUCAAGUUUCUUUUCAAACAAGAAUUCCAAAACAAACACAGUCCACUGGAAAUUUUCUCAACUUCAGCUGGCUGGAAAAUGAAAGGACUCAGUUUCCCAUCACUUCACUUUCGUUGGUACUCUGACCUUUGGUGUCCCAUUCAUAGUUCCUUUAAGAGGCAGAAAGCCUUCUAUCUGGCUUCCUUCAACACGUGCCUCUACUAUCACUUUGAGCUAGUGAUCAGACUAGAAGUUUAAGGAGGCACCAAUGGCCACAAAGGACUCACUGGAUUUUGCACUUGUAGACCCAAAGUUCUGCUAAAAAAUAUUUAGAAACACUGGUUUUUGAAUCAGUACCCAUGAGUUGUUGGAAAUAAGUUAGGUUGAUGAAAAUAACCAAAACAACAUAAAAAUAUAUCAAAUACUCUUUCAUACUUUUGAAAACACACAAAAAGGAAAGCAGUGUCUGGAGUAAUUAAUUGUUAAUAAAUGAAAAGAGCUCAAGAAGUCAAUUGAUAAAUGAGGCUAGAAGUCAUUGAAAGAAACAAAAUCCAGGAUCUAUUUAAAAAAAAAAAUCUUAAAAAAAUGUAAAACCUACUUUCUGGUGUUUUCUUUGUUGGUAUAUUUUUUUCUUUCCUCCAUACUGAACAAGCGAAACACACAUGGCAAGGGGCAUCUAAUCAUUACUCUGAUUUAGUUUAGGUACCACAGUGCCAUCAUAUGUCCAAAGUUUAUGCAUUUCAAAAUGUUUUCUGAGAAUCACAGUGAGACUUAGAGUAACAGAGAAUAAAAUGAAGUUCUGUUUUUCAAGCAUAUGAACAGUGUAGCGCAAACAGCUUCCAUGCAAUUAGAUGUAGA